rnacentral:rRNA from 1 species
GCCUGCCCAGUGACAUCAUGUUCAACGGCCGCGGUAUUCUGACCGUGCGAAGGUAGCGUAAUCACUUGUCUUUUAAAUAAAGACUAGUAUGAAUGGCACCACGAGGAUUUAGCUGUCUCCUUAAACUCAUCAGUGAAACUGAUCCCCCCGUGCAAAAGCAGGGAUAGACACAUAAGACGAGAAGACCCUAUGGAGCUUAAAACUAUUAAGCUGCCUAUGCUAUCUGCUUUAAUAAACAGCACUAUAAUCAAUAGGCCCGGCCUACGUUUUCAGUUGGGGUGACUAUGGAGAAAAACCUAUCCUCCAUGAAGAGACAAGCCUUGAGUUCCCACUCUACGCAUUAGCAAGCCUAACUUUACUUUGAUCCAAUUUUUUGAUCAACGGACCAAGUUACCCUAGGGAUAACAGCGCAAUCCAUUUCAAGAGUCCUUAUCGACAAAUGGGUUUACGACCUCGAUGUUGGAUUAGGACACCCUAGUGGUGCAGCCGCUACUAAUGGUUCGUUUGUUCAACGAUUAAAGUCCU